rnacentral:rRNA from 1 species
GCUCAAAUUUGGAAUCUCUGCCUAGCAGCGAAUUGUAGUUUAGAGAUGCGUUUUCGGUUGCAGACGACGUACAAGUUCUUUGGAACGAGACAUCAUAGAGGGUGAGAAUCCCGUCCAUGACGUUGUUGCGCAGCCAUGUGAUACGUACUCAAAGAGUCGGUUUGUUUGGGAAUGCAGACCAAAAUGGGUGGUAAAUACCAUCUAAGGCUAAAUAUUGGCGAGAGACCGAUAGCGAACAAGUACCGUGAGGGAAAGAUGAAAAGAACUUUGAAAAGAGAGUUAAACAGUACGUGAAAUUGUCAAAAGGGAAACGCUUGAAACCAGUAUUGCACGGGGGGGUAUCUGGUUGCACGACCAGUGUUAUCCAUCAGGCGAGUCAACAUGACUUUGGUCUGGGUGAAAAUGCUUGGUGAAUGUAGCCCUCCGGGGUGUUUAGCACCAAGAGAUAGCCUGGGCUGGAGUGAGGACUGCAGCGUCUUUGGCGAUCCCGUCUCCUUUGAAAGUGAAUGGCAAGACUGCAUGCAGAUUUGUACUUCAUGUAGGAGCUGGCGGAGUUAGCACACUAGCGCUUAGGAUGUUGACGAAAUGGUUUUAAUCGACCCGUCUUGAAACACGGACCAAGGAGUCUAACAUGUAUGCGAGUAUUUGGGUGGCAAACCCUUGUGCGCAAUGAAAGUGAGAAGGUGUGAUCAACAUCGACCGCGCUCUUCUUUUUGAGGUGGCGUGAGUAUGAGCAUACAUGCUAGGACCCGAAAGAUGGUGAACUAUGCCUGAAUAGGGUGAAGUCAGAGG